GGAGUUAGCCGGUGCUUCUUCUGCGAGUAACGUCACAGAUGUAAGGUAUUAACUUACACCCUUUCCUCCUCGCUGAAAGUGCUUUACAACCCGAAGGCCUUCUUCACACACGCGGCAUGGCUGCAUCAGGGUUUCCCCCAUUGUGCAAUAUUCCCCACUGCUGCCUCCCGUAGGAGUCUGGGCCGUGUCUCAGUCCCAGUGUGGCUGAUCAUCCUCUCAGACCAGCUAGGGAUCGUCGCCUAGGUGAGCCUUUACCUCACCUACUAGCUAAUCCCACCUGGGCUUAUCCAUCAGCGCAAGGCCCGAAGGUCCCCUGCUUUCCCCCGUAGGGCGUAUGCGGUAUUAGCAGUCGUUUCCAACUGUUAUCCCCCACAAAUGGGCAAAUUCCCAGGCAUUACUCACCCGUCCGCCGCUCGUCAUCUUCAAAAGCAAGCUUUUGAAAUGUUACCGCUCGACUUGCAUGUNUUAGGCCUGCCGCCAGCGUUCAUCUGAGCCAGGAUACAAACUACUCGA
rnacentral:rRNA from 1 species